UGCAAGAUGUAGUUUGUCUGAAGAGUUUUCUUUGCCCAGCAUUGUAACUUUCUUUUAAUGUUCCUGUCAUGCAUGUUUAAACUUAACUUUUAUGCUAAGGAUUUACUGGGUUCACGAGGUGGAAUUCCCGUGUUAACGUUACUAACGUUAGAACUAGCUUAAUGGAUAUCAAGAAAGAAGUGGUGGACUGGAUGAAGCUGGAUGAUGGACUUUUCUAAUCAGGAUUUCUGGAGCAAGGACUGCAGGACUUCCAGCUACUGUUUGGAGAAGAUAUUUCUUCUCAAUUUUUGGAAGUGGGGAAAUUUUCUGAAGCCAGAAAUCAUCAAAGUAUCCAAGAACCUCACCAAGAUGUGGACCGAGAUGUGGAUCCAGAGCACUGUAGACAAUCACAUAAUUGCGCCAGUUCAGUACGUAUACAUGUUUUUAUAUUUUGCCAGAACUUCCUGGUGUUUAGACAUGAUUAUUUAAAUCCAUUCAUGAAUUGUAACAAUGAGGAACAAAUUUAAUGCCUUUAGUAUAUUGCUUUUUAUGAAUGUCAGCUGUAUUGUUUCAAACUAGAUUGUGGAUUUUAUCCAAACAUUGUAAUGCUUUUUUGACACUGUCUUGACAGGUUUGAAAUUAAAUAUGUUGAACCGUGA